CGACUAUAUAAGUAGAAGAGCAGACCGCCUCCUGUACCCGACCUCCAAACAGUUGGAAAACAUCAGGAAAGUCCGACAUACAAAAAUGAAGGUUUCCGUUGUGUUGCUGCUGUUCGCCCUGGUGGCUACCAGCCUCGCUAGCUUCUACUACCCACCUAGGAUCGCGAAGGUCCUCGUCAUUCCUAAAUACGGCUAUGGAGGCUAUGGAGGCUACGGUGGCUAUGGAGGAUAUGGAGGCUAUGGAGGCUACGGUGGUUUGGGAGGCCUCGGCGGAUUCGGCGGCAUUGGAGGCUUUGGCGGCUUUGGCGGCCUCGGCGGUUACGGCGGUUACGGAGGUUACGGACGUGGAGUAAUUGGAGUUGGAACUGUCGGCAUCCUUGGCGGUGGUCUAGGUAUUGGCGGAGGUUUUGGAUUUGGUGGUGGUCAUGGGGGCAAAUACUAAUGACCUUACUGAUGGACCACAAAGUCGUGUCUCAAAUACUAGGUCAUGGAAACGUACAUUCAUAGCCAAUCUACAAAAAUGCUGUCAUACUUCAAUUAAUAAAGUUUUGAAAUAUU
rnacentral:lncRNA from 1 species